CGAGUGAAGCGGGAAAAGCUCAAAUUUAAAAUCUGAUGGUCUUUGAUCGGUCAGAAUUGUAACCUAGAGAAGUGUUGCCCGUGCUGGACCAUGUAUAAGUCUCCUGGGAUGGAGCGUCACAGAGGGUGAGAAUCCCGUCUUUGACAUGGACUACCAGUGCAUUGUGGUAUGCUCUCAAAGAGUUGAGUUGUUUGGGAAUGCAGCUCUAAAUGGGUGGUAAAUUCCAUCUAAAGCUAAAUAUUGGCGAGAGACCGAUAGCGAACAAGUACCGUGAGGGAAAGAUGAAAAGAACUUUGGAAAGAGAGUUAAACAGUAUGUGAAAUUGUUGAAAGGGAAACGCUUGAAGUCAGUCGUGUUGGUCAGGGAUCAAGUUGGUUAUUUUGCUGACUGUAUUUCCUGGCUGAUGGGCCAACAUCAGUUUUGACUGCUGGAGAAAGACUGAGGGAAUGUGGCACCCUUGGGUGUGUUAUAGCUCUGAGUCAUAUACAGGAGUU
rnacentral:rRNA from 1 species